AUCGCGAGUACUCGCGGUAAUCGUGUGUAAACAAAAGUUUUCGAUUGUUUAAUUUGAUUUCGAUGUUUAACAUUUUAAUUUUUGUUUGGAUACGGAAUUAUUUCGAAUCAUAAACUAAUGGAUUAGAAUUAUGUCGAUAAAAAUGGUAAUUUGGUACAAAACGAUCCAACUAUUCCAAUUCAAAAAGGUCUUCAAUGUGAUGGAAAAAAGAUUUCACAUUUCAUUUUUCUUAUUACGAAGGAAAUCUUAUAAAUUCAAAUGGCACAUUUGUGCCGGAUAAUUAUGAAUUCCCGGUAUUUGAUGAUGACUUAAACGUAUUUUUGCUGAAUCCGAAUUCGAUUGCCAGCUUUAAGAUAUUGAAUUCAAUUAUUCUUUCGAUUAUCAGAUCAAUCGUUAAACAUAUUUGCGGAACAAGUAACGACUGCUUGUAUAUGACAAGCAUUCCUAAAAAUACGAUGCUCAUCAUUUUAAAUAAAAUAGACGCCAAUUACCCAAUUUUACCCAAAAAAUAUAAUGAACUAAAUUGUGAUGCAAAAAAAUGGAAUUUGUAUUUCAUGUAUUUUUUCAGAAAUUUGUAUGGUACACUUAUAAAAAUAUCAAACGGUCUAAUGACCAAAAAAAGAAAGACAAAUGAAAAAGAAUCCUUUAUAAAUUAAAUUGUAUUUUUAUAAGUCAAUUAUAAAUAAAAUGGUUACAUUGUUUGAGCUUAA